rnacentral:lncRNA from 1 species
ACAAGUAGUUGAAUACAAUAUGUUAUUUAUAUAUCAUCAUUAUUUAUUAACAUAAUUUCUACCAGUACAAGGUAGAAGAUAUAUUAAUUUGGAAAUGACAAUCUAGAGAAAUAAACAAAUAUACAUAUGGUUUCAUAUUAUGCAUUCUCAGCAGCAGCAGGAUCAAGUUGAUAGAGUGCAGAUUCUGAAACACGUUUCUUGUACUUGGCAAUAAAAGCUUCAGCUUUCAUAUCAAUAUUGGGCUCAGCAACACCCCAAUUACCUUUGUCAUCAUCGCUAGGCCACACCCUCCUCCACGAAUCAGGGGCAUCAUAGUACCCUCCUCUGGGCUUCCUUGAUGAAAAGAUGUUGAACAUAGAGAAGAAACCCGAAGAUGACUUCUUUUGCCUAUUACCACCUGCCAUAAUUAUGGUGUUUUUUUUUUUUUGGCUAACAAUGACUGAAUCAGCCACUGUGAAGACAAUGAACUUGGAGGUGA